rnacentral:rRNA from 1 species
GACGAACGUUGGCGGCGUGCUUAACACAUGCAAGUCGAACGGAAAGGCCCUGCUUUUGUGGGGUGCUCGAGUGGCGAACGGGUGAGUAACACGUGAGUAACCUGCCCUUGACUUUGGGAUAACUUCAGGAAACUGGGGCUAAUACCGGAUAGGAGCUCCUGCUGCAUGGUGGGGGUUGGAAAGUUUCGGCGGUUGGGGAUGGACUCGCGGCUUAUCAGCUUGUUGGUGGGGUAGUGGCUUACCAAGGCUUUGACGGGUAGCCGGCCUGAGAGGGUGACCGGCCACAUUGGGACUGAGAUACGGCACAGACUACUACGGGAGGCAGCAGUGGGGAAUAUUGCACAAUGGGCGGAAGCCUGAUGCAGCAACGCCGCGUGCGGGAUGACGGCAUUCGGGUUGUAAACCGCUUUCGCCUGUGACGAAGCGUGAGUGACGGUAAUGGGUAAAGAAGCACCGGCUAACUACGUG